AAAUUGAAGAGUUUGAUCAUGGCUCAGAUUGAACGCUGGCGGCAGGCCUAACACAUGCAAGUCGAACGGUAACAGAAAGCAGCUUGCUGCUUUGCUGACGAGUGGCGGACGGGUGAGUAAUGUCUGGGAAACUGCCUGAUGGAGG
rnacentral:rRNA from 1 species